rnacentral:rRNA from 1 species
UACGGAGGAUGCAAGCGUUAUCCGGAUUUAUUGGGUUUAAAGGGUGCGCAGGUUGUUUGAUAAGUCAGUGGUGAAAGUCUGUCGCUUAACGGUAGGAUUGCCAUUGAUACUGUUGGACUUGAAUAUGGAUGAGGUAGGCGGAAUGUGUAGUGUAGCGGUGAAAUGCAUAGAUAUUACACAGAACACCGAUUGCGAAGGCAGCUUACUAAUCCGUCAUUGACGCUGAGGCACGAAAGCGUGGGGAUCAAACAGGAUUA